ACGUCUCGCAGCCACCUCAGUAUGAAUGGUGGAGCUGCAGAAGACAACUCUGCUGCUGCAGUUUAAAAAGUUAGUGAGGACAGACACAGAGAGCGAGAGGAAGCGCGCACAUGGCUUUCAGUGUGUUCAGGAUGACUUUUAUUCCGCAGUGCAAAAGUUUGAAAGUGAAAGAAAGAGUGUCAGGUCAAGCUGGUGCAGAUGCGCGCCUCGCAAAUGUUGGCUGAGUUAAAAAAAAUAAUAAAAAAAAAAAGUGAAGACGUGCAAAGUGUGCGCCUGACUGCCAGUGAUGUGGGACAAAUUAGAGGAAAUGUACACGAGAGGUGUUGCUAUGGAGACGCAAGCAGAAGCAGAGAAAGUUGAGAGUUUUAAGUGAAGACUUUCUGAUGAAGAGGAGGAUGAAGACUUAACAAACUGGCCUGGAUGAAGUGAUGCAGUUAGUUUUGGUAUCAUGUCCGCGGCCAUGCAUCUCCACCACCGAGAGAGACCGAGAGCAGUGCAGCGUGGCUCAUAUUCCAAAGCAGCCUGCAGGAAAAGGAUGUUUGGCCUGUUGCUCAAGGACGUUGGAGUAGAGAGUCACCUGCUCUGUUAGAGAAGUAUCAUUCGUUGUGGACUAUCUGGAUCUCCAACUGUUGAGCACAGCCUUGCAGAGCAGGUCUUGAUACUCCGGUAUCUCUGGCCCGGUGGUAAAGUGGUGAAGAGGCUAUGGCUCGGGUCACAGUAUGGACACGGUCUGAAUCCAUUUGUUUCCCAACAACUGUACUAAGUACUUUUGUCCCCGUUUCCUGGAAAAAAAAAAACCUUGUAUGUGAGUGUGGUGCCGACGCUGACGUAUCUAUCUGGAGGUAUUUUAUCUCCAUCUGCAUGUUGACUUUCUCACAACAGACAAUAGAUGUGGCUGAUCACAUGUGGCUAAGACGCAGGAUUGAGAAACAGAUUCACCACUAUCUAGUUGGUUUCCACCACAUUCACCCAUCCUGACAAGUGGUCGGGAAACCACCUCAGCAAAGCUCAUCUGUUGAGAUGUUGCUGAGUCAGUUUGGGGUCAUGACAUCAUCAUCAUGAGAUGGGGAGGAUGGUGGACGGUGACCGCAGGCAGCUACAGAAGAGGUGGUGCUGUGUGCCGCGGUUUGCAGCUGCUGGUUCUUGGCGAAAAAAAAAAGUGCUUUGGAGUUGCUUCAGGGAAUAAUUUUGCUGAAAUGUCAAAAGGAAGAACAAAUUCAAGAGGUUUGAAGGGGCAGUAAGUAAGCUUUUUAUUGUCGCAUCGCACCGAAUGUCCAUAACACCUGCAGGAUGUUGGUAAUUGUCCAAAGUGCUGAGGGCUUUUGACUUGCCAAACUGUCUUUCCGGCUUGUGGGCUGUUUUGGAGCUAAAUCUCCACACCCAGUGAAGUAAUGCUGAUGUUGUUGAAAUCCUGACUGGUGGUGACCACAGCUAGAAACACACAAGCAAAAGAUUACUUAGCCUCCGGAGUCCGUCUGUUCAUCAGUGAUUGUGCUGAGCAUUUGAUUUUCUAACUUUAUUUAUCAUCACGUAGAGGGAAGCUGAGAAAACCAUCUGAGAGUGCUGAUGUGGAGCUUUCAUACGGUAUCUCUAUAGAUCGUAAUUUUUUUUUAAGGAAAUUUUUAAAUGCUUAAAUAUUAAUAUUUUCAGUGAUUUACUGGCAAACAUAGACUUACAGUGAAAGAGGAACAAAUAUAAGUUGGGAUAAGAUCAUUUUGCACAUAAAAACACAGUGUAGUUUUAUUUCUUACAUUUUUUGCUGCAUUUUUAUGUCUAAAUAGUGGAAUAUGAUAAGUCUGACUUACAGCAGAGUUAGUCCUGAAUAAAAGAUACUAGUUACAGGUCCUCCGUCAAAAAUUUUAAAUUUAGGCAGGCACAUUUUCUGAUUUCCUAAUUUGACAUUAAAUUUUAUUUAAUUGUGCAGAAACACUUUUCAAAAUACCAGUAAAGACACUGGCCUUUAAUGACUGAAGGAAUUUGUUCUUCCUCUCUGUGUGUUGUAGCUAAUGCACCUUGCCUAUACCUAAAUGAUCAAAACAAUAAAUUUGAUUAAAUCAACUUAAACAUUAACUUCCGACUAGACUGAAUCCAGCUCGUUUUGGUGUCGUAAUGUAAAUGUCAAACACUGGUAACGGUCAUGAAACACACUCAGCUCAUAAUGACUCUCACUCAGGUAGAUGAACAGUCUAACACCCACCCAAAAAUCAGACCUCAAAGAUUUUCAGUUUGUUAUCACAAGAGACAAAUAAAAACCUCACAUCCUCACAAUUUAGAAGCUGGAACUAAGAAAUGUUUGACACUUGAGUUUGAACGAUUACUUUAGUGAUUCAUGGAUUAUUAAAAACACUGCAGAUUAUUUUUUUUGUUGGUUAACUAAUUUAACAAUCAAUUUAUCGUUUCAGCUCUAACAUUAUUUGAAUGUCAGCUCACUGGCUUCCUCCACGGACUGUUAAUGCACUUCAGUAAACAAAGCCUAACUCUAAUGUUUCUUUUUUAGUAAAUGUGUGUGUCUGGCAGCUGUUCAUAGGCACAUAAACAGUUAAAUAAAUAUAUAAAAAGUUACUUUAGAGUGGGAUUUCUUUUUUCCCCUGCAUCAGAGGCUACACAUGGAGGCAUUUAAGGACUAUACCCUGCACUUCCUCAGAACUGUAACUACUUGUGGGUGCUAUAACAUGGCUGCUUAUGUGUUUUGGCAGCAGAGGGUUUCCCCCCUCCCAGAGCUGAAAACUGGCCUGAUUGGUCUCACAUCAGUGAUUCUGCAUCCUUUGGGGCUGAAAGGAUCAGGUCCAGGUUUGAUAAAUUUGUGUGAAUAAGUGUGGAAAAGGAGCUGUUUGAAAGGAGAGUAUGAAAUGUGACAACCUAGUUAAAAACAGUAAGUUUAAUGGAGAUCAUUAAGAUUUAUUUUUCAAAUGUUUACUUCGGUUAAGGAAAAUCAGAUUCUCAUAAUAGGAUCCCAAACAAAAAGACAUUUAAAAAUAUAAGAUUUUAAGUACAUAUUCUGAUAGCAUCGCUCUCACAUAAUACUUUUUAAAAGUACAUAAUAAAAAAUUAUUUAAUUGAUUAUAUUUGAACAGCUGUGACUAGUUGAUCACUGAAUUUCUGGCUGGGUGUGACUGCUGACUAACACUGUCAUGCUUUUAAAACUACCAACAGGUCAUAAUUUAUGGGUUGAGUGAGUUUCAUGACCCUCAGGCUGUUGUCACCCAUUAAAACCGCAUUGUUGAAUUCCAAAAUGUGGUUUUCAGCGUGAACAUGCAUCAUUCCUGAAAAAUUUAUUUUUCCCCUUUCCCCUUCUGUUUGUCCUGAGAUGAACCGAUUUUCUGUCUCACAAAAAAAAAAACAGGUUUUGAACCUGAAGAACAGCCCCGUCUCCUAAAAAUGAUGUUCGCAAACAACAAAACUGCAACAGCAGAUACAUUUUGAAUUCGCUGGCUGGAUUAUGCUCACAGGCAGCAUAUUUUUGUCAUGAAUGAAGCGCCACAUUUAUUAACGGCUUUGGAGUCUUGAGGAGGUGGUUGGGGUGGAUGGCGGGCGUACAAAGCGCACAACUGUCGCAACAGAAACCAGGGUUUACAUCCAGAGUCUUGUCUGUGGUUUAGGCAACAAAAGCACUUUGGUUAAGGUUAGAGAAAGACUGUGGUUUGGAUUAAAUGUAAAUAAACAUGUUGCGUCUGACGUCAUGGUGAACUUUUUUUUCUGUAUUAAAACAGACCACAAUCUUUCCCUAAACUUAACCAAACUCUGUGAGUACCUGGACAUAAACAUAACAAAUACAUUGUCUGUGAACAUUUUACUGCUAUGUUCAGUAUUAACAGCAUUCACUCAUUACGUCCAUAGAAAAAAGUGAUUCGCACAUUUAUGUUUUGUACAACAUUAAAAUGAAUUUUUGAUGACA